UUACAGAGUUGCAAAACUCCCACAAACCAUCGCGAAUCUUACCCGUACGGUUGCCUCGGCGCUGGCGGUCCGGAAAGGCCCUCGGGCCCCCCGGAUCCUCGGGUCUCCCGCUCGCGGGAGGCUGCCCGCCGGAGUGCCGAAACCAAACUCUUGAUAUUUUAUGUCUCUCUGAGUAAACUUUUAAAUAAGUCAAAACUUUCAACAACGGAUCUCUUGGUUCUGGCAUCGAUGAAGAACGCAGCGAAAUGCGAUAAGUAAUGUGAAUUGCAGAAUUCAGUGAAUCAUCGAAUCUUUGAACGCACAUUGCGCUCGCCAGUAUUCUGGCGAGCAUGCCUGUUCGAGCGUCAUUUCAACCAUCAAGCUCUGCUUGCGUUGGGGAUCCGCGUCUGACGCGGUCCCUCAAAAACAGUGGCGGGCUCGCUAGUCACACCGAGCGUAGUAACUCUACAUCGCUAUGGUCGUGCGGCGGGUUCUUGCCGUAAAACCCCCAAUUUCUAAGGUUGACCUCGGAUCAGGUAGGAAUACCCGCUGAACUUAAGCAUAU
rnacentral:rRNA from 1 species